CUACUGAGCCAUCUCCCCAGCCCCUCCUCCUGGGUAUAAAUGAUAGUUAAAGCUGUGGUACUCGCUGCAUCCAGGAAGUGAGUGAAGAUAGAGUAGAAUCUGAUUACACCCCAGUAGUUCAAGAUCUGGAAGUGGAGGAGGCCUCAGAAGAGGAGAAUGAAGAAACAGCUCCUGAGCAGGGGUCCUGCUGUACAGGAGGGAGGAAUGAAUGCUGCACAGAGAGCAGGACAGGAAGAAUCUGAACCGACUGGCCUUGCUGGAUUUCCUCACCCUAUUAACAAGUGCUCCUGUGUGUCACCUUGCUGCAUCUUCCUUUCCUCCAGAGAACGCAGGCUUCUUGCACCUGGCUCAGCGCCUGGCUCUCCUAGGCAUCUGUCAAGAAGCUGUAGGGUACAGCGGAUUCUGCCCUCUCAUUCACCGGUAAAGCCCUGUCCAGAGGGCAGCACAUGGUCUGGUUGCCCCCUCAGUUUCAGGCAUGGCUUCAGGGGCCCCUUCUGCUUGCUCAGGGUUCUCCACCAAGGCUGGGUCGGGACCAGACUCAAGUGCUCCAGGCUUGAGUUCCUACGCUGGGCCUGUGUGCCAGCAGGUGGCACUCGAGGCCCACAGACUGAACCAGCACCUCCCUCUCCCCACCUCUCACUGGCUCCAUGCUGCCUUUGUGGCCAGGUAGCAGCCAUAACUGGGCCUCCCCUUUGCUGGCAAGUCUGAGUAGUUCCAGAGCCUGUGUUCCAACCUGGGGACUAAAAGCUUUUAAAAUAAUUAUUUUUAUAUCACAUGCAUCAAGUCCCCUUUUCCUUAGUAAUUAAUAGUCUCCUACCCUUCCCGCUUGUCUUUGAUGAUGCUAAACCAUGGUCAAAGAAGCCCAGAAGCCUUGGGUCCUGUAUUGAGGCAAAAUUUUUUUUUCUGGUACUGGGGACUGAACACAGGACCCUGCGCUUGUCAGGCAAGUGCUUAUUCUACUGAGCUAUCUCCCUGGCCCCUUGGGUCCUGUCUUGAGUUUCUCCCUGUUGCUACAUAUGGGAUGGAGAAAGAAUUUUGUUUUUUAAAGCAGCAAAAGCAGAGUAUGGCUGUGGGUGUGUGGGCAGGAAUUAUUGAGACACUGCUAGUGUCACUUGCCUUGUCCAGGAAUUAUUUGGGUCUGAACUUUGUGGGGGGAGAGUCUCAAAAAAAUGUCAUGGUACCAAAGAGAG